rnacentral:rRNA from 1 species
UGGUGGAGUGAUUUGUCUGGUUAAUUCCGAUAACGAACGAGACCUUGACCUGCUAACUAGUCACGGGAAGCUUUUUUGGCUUGCCGGCUGUACUUCUUAGAGGGACAAUCUGUGUUUCCAGCAGAUGGAAGCUCGAGGCAAUAACA